GUACUACCUGAGGACCCAACAAUACCACUACUGGUCAUAUACCCAGAAGAUGGUCCAACAUGUAAUAUGGACACAUGCGCCACUAUGUUCAUAGUAGCCUUAUUUAUAAUAGCCAGGAGCUGGAAAGAACCCAGAUGUCCCUCAGCAGAGGAAUGGAUACAGAAAAUGUGGCACAUUUACACAAUGGAGUACUACUCAGCUAUUAAAAAUGAAUUCAUGAAAUUCUUAGACAAAUGGAUGGAUCUGGAGGAUAUCAUCUUGAGUGAGGUAACCCAAUCGCAAAAGAACACACAUGAUAUGCACUCACUGAUAAGUGGAUAUUAGCCCAAAAGCUCCAAAUAACCAAGAUACAAUUCACAGACUACAUGAAGCUCAAGAAGAAGGAAGACCAAAGUGUGGGUGCUUUGGUCCCUCUUAGAAGGGGAACAAAGUACUCACAGGAGCAAAUAUGGAGAUAGAGUGUAGAGCAGAGACUGAAGGAAAGGCCAUCCAGAGACUGUCCCAUAUACAGAGACUGGGAAUUCAUCCCAUACACAGUUACCAAACCCAGACACUAUUGUGGAUGCCAAGACAUUCAUGCUGACAGGAGCCUGAUAUGGCUGUCUCCUGAGAGGUCCUGCCAGAGCCUUACAAUACAGAGACUGAUGCUCACAGCCAACCACUGGACUGAGUGUGGGGUCCCCAAUAGAGGAGUUAGAGAAAGGACUGAAGGAGUUGAAGGGGUUUGCAACCCCAUAAGAACAACAAUAUCAACCAAGCAGACCCCCCAGAGCUCCCAGUGACUAAGCCAUCAACCAAGGAGUACACAUGGCUCCAGCUGCAUAUGUAGCAGAGGAUGGCCUUGUCAUGUAUCAAAAGGAGGAGAGGUCCUUGGUCCUAUGAAGGUGCGAUAGAUGCCCCAGUAUAGGGGAAUCAAGGGCAGAUAGGUGGGUUGGAGGAACACCCUCAUAGAAGCAGGGGGAGUAAGGAAGGAUAUGGGGAUUUCUGGGAGGGGUGGAAACUAGGAAAGGGGGUAACAUUUGAAAUGUAAAUAAAGAAAAUAUCCAAUU
rnacentral:lncRNA from 1 species